rnacentral:misc_RNA from 1 species
GAUGAAGAACGCAGCGAAAUGCGAUACUUGGUGUGAAUUGCAGAAUCCCGUGAACCAUCGAGUCUCUGAACGCAAGUUGCGCCCGAAGCCAUUAGGCCGAGGGCACGCCUGCCUGGGCGUCACACGUCGUUGCCCCCCCAUCUACUCCUUCGGGAUUGCGGGGGGCGGAUGAUGGCCUCCCGUGCGCCUCGCCGCGCGGUUGGCAUAAAUGCCAAGUCCUCGGCGACGCACGCCACGACAAUCGGUGGUUGCGAAACCUCGGUUGCCCGUCGUGUGCGGUCGUCGCGCAUCGAGGGCUCGAAAAAAUUGCCGGGUUCCGGCUCGGCUUUCAACGCGACCCCAGGUCAGGCGGGGUUACCCGCUGAAUUUAAGCAUAUCAAUAAGCGGAGGA